rnacentral:tRNA from 1 species
GGAGGGAUGCGUGAGCGGUCGAAACGGGCGGUCUUGAAAACCGCUGUACCCGAAAGGGUACCGGGGGUUCGAAUCCCUCUCCCUCCGCCA